GACGAACGCUGGCGGCGUGCUUAACACAUGCAAGUCGAGCGAUUCUCUUCGGAGAAGAGCGGCGGACGGGUGAGUAACGCGUGGGUAACCUGCCCUGUACACACGGAUAACAUACCGAAAGGUAUGCUAAUACGGGAUAAUAUGCUUUAGUCGCAUGGCUGAAGUAUCAAAGCUCCGGCGGUACAGGAUGGACCCGCGUCUGAUUAGCUAGUUGGUAAGGUAACGGCUUACCAAGGCGACGAUCAGUAGCCGACCUGAGAGGGUGAUCGGCCACAUUGGAACUGAGACACGGUCCAAACUCCUACGGGAGGCAGCAGUGGGGAAUAUUGCACAAUGGGCGAAAGCCUGAUGCAGCAACGCCGCGUGAGCGAUGAAGGCCUUCGGGUCGUAAAGCUCUGUCCUCAAGGAAGAUAAUGACGGUACUUGAGGAGGAAGCCCCGGCUAACUACGUGCCAGCCGCCGCCGUAA
rnacentral:rRNA from 1 species